AUGAACGCUGGCGGCGUGCCUAAUCCAUGCAAGUCGAGCGAACGGACGAGAAGCUUGCUUCUCUGAUGUUAGCGGCGGACGGGUGAGUAACACGUGGAUAACCUACCUAUAAGACUGGGAUAACUUCGGGAAACCGGAGCUAAUACCGGAUAAUAUUUUGAACCGCAUGGUUCAAAAGUGAAAGACGGUCUUGCUGUCACUUAUAGAUGGAUCCGCGCUGCAUUAGCUAGUUGGUAAGGUAACGGCUUACCAAGGCAACGAUGCAUAGCCGACCUGAGAGGGUGAUUGGCCACACUGGAACUGAGACACGGUCCAGACUCCUACGGGAGGCAGCAGUAGGGAAUCUUCCGCAAUGGGCGAAAGCCUGACGGAGCAACGCCGCGUGAGUGAUGAAGGUCUUCGGAUCGUAAAACUCUGUUAUUAGGGAAGAACAUAUGUGUAAGUAACUGUGCACAUCUUGACGGUACCUAAUCAGAAAGCCACGGCUAACUACGUG
rnacentral:rRNA from 1 species